rnacentral:rRNA from 1 species
GAUGAACGCUGGCGGCGUGCUUAACACAUGCAAGUCGAACGGUGAAGCGCCUUCCUUCUUGGUGGGUGUGGUGGAGUGGGGAAGGGGUGAGCAACACGUGAGUAACCUGCGCCCGUCUUCUGGAUAAGCGCACGAAAGUGUUGCUAAUACGGGAUAAUCGGGGACUGUCGCAUGACGGGUCUGGAAGAGAUAUUGGUUCGGUGGGGGAUGGGCUCGCGGCCUAUCAGGUUGUUGGCGGGGUGAUGGCCUACCAAGGCGGUGGCGGGUAGCCGGCAAGAGAGGGUGGCCAGUCUGGGAGGGACUGAGACACGGGACAGACUCCUGCGGGAGGCAGCAGUGAGUAUUGAUGCACAGUGGGCGCAAGACUGAUGCAGCGAGGCCGCGUGAGGGAUGGAGGCCUGCUGGUUGUGAACCUCUUUCGCCAGUGAAGCAGGCCUGCCUCGUCUGUGGGUGGGUUGACGGUAGCUGAAGAAGAAGCGCCGGCUAACUACGUG